rnacentral:tRNA from 1 species
GGUAGCGUGUCCGAGCGGCCGAAGGAGCUCGCCUCGAAAGCGAGUGUUGCGCAAGUAACCGAGGGUUCAAAUCCCUCCGCUACCG